CCCUGCGCGUUCACGCUCUAGUGGUGAGAUUGGAGGACGGGGAAGCGAUAGUUGUGACACCGAGGGGCAAAUAACUCAUCGCUUCCAAUGAAUAACUACCCCUUCAGCUCGACCGCCAGCUGACGCACUGCCCUGCGCGAACCCACGCGGACGGAGGAGCGACGCGGCGCGAUUGUGUGAGGAGUAUCCAGUGGCGCCGGCGGAAGCAGCUCUGGCCGUUCCUCUGCUCCAGUAUGGCUCAGCCGAGCUCGUGUGCUCAGAGCAGUAACGGUGUGGCCGACGAGUCUCCCAACAUGCUGGUCUACAGGAAAAUGGAAGACAUCAUCGCUCGCAUGCAGGACGAGAAGAAUGGGAUUCCUAUC